UUUUUUACCGUUUUCAAUCGGUGAUCUAAUAAAAUACAAAUUUUUCGGUAAUCAGCUGCCUGUUUGCCGAAAACUGUAAAGAAUAUUGCUGAUUUUCGGUGAUUUUAUCCAGAUUUACCGAGUACGGUGAUUAAUUUCACCGAUGAAUCAGCAAAUAAGCCUAAUCACUGAUUUCGGUAAAACAGAAAGCUGAAAUUUCGGUAAACAAUGCCGUCGAUUACCGAAUUUCGGUAAUGUAGCAGCAAGAGACGUCAAAUUCGCCAUGAUAGUUUUCUUCCGACCGGCUUUGUUGAUUGAAGUGAGGUUUUCGAUUUCGGGUGUUUAGUAUUAUUAGAGUAUGGAACAAGUGCAAGAAUUACACGAGGUUAUGUUACUGGACUUGUUCAUAGCGAUGAUCACGCCGAAAUCAGAACACCAGAAACAUGAAACAAAUACACUGCAUGAUCCAGAUCUGCUCUUGGAAGUUGCUGUUGAGAACCAUCCCUUUGGAAGCUUCAAACCAACCGGCAAUGCAACGACUGCGAUGAGCCACCGUGCAGUGUUUUUUGCGUCGAUCGGGAAAUGAAGCAUGAACAGAAUCUGAAUUUGUAUCUGAUUAAUAUCAUGGCGUUCCAAGUGAAAAAUAAAUAUUCCACUUUCAAAAUUUC